rnacentral:rRNA from 1 species
ACACGCAUGACACACUGCAUAUCAAUAAGCGGAGGAAAAGAAACUAACAAGGAUUCCCUUAGUAACGGCGAGUGAAGCGGGAAGAGCUCAAAUUUGAAAUCUUCAAGGUUCUACCUUGACGAAUUGUAGUUUAUAGAAGUGUUUUCUGUUAGUAGAGUGGCAAAAGUUCUUUGGAAUAGGACAUCAUAGAGGGUGAGAAUCCCGUAUUUGGUCAUUCUUUCUAGCUUUGUGAUACACUUUCAACGAGUCGGAUUGUUUGGGAAUGCAGUCCAAAAUGGGUGGUAAAUUUCAUCUAAAGCUAAAUAUUGGCGAGAGACCGAUAGCGAACAAGUACCGUGAGGGAAAGAUGAAAAGAACUUUGAAAAGAGAGUUAAACAGUACGUGAAAUUGUCAAAAGGGAAGCGUUUGACACCAGUGUUGUUUUUCCGAAAAUUAAUUACGAAUGUUUUGUUUUUGAGAAGUUAUGACUUCAUCGGCUUGCUUCUCUCUUUACGAAACUUUCUUAAUGCACUUUUCGGUUAACAAGUCAACAUCAAUUUCUUUUGUUGUAAAAGGGUACGAGGAAGGUGGCUUUCUUUUCGGAGAAAGUGUUUAUAGCCUUGUACCUCUGCAAUCGGAGAGAUUGAGGUCUGCAGCGUAGAUCCUUCGGGGUUAGAUACAUUUGUGCUAAGUUAUAGCUUUUCAUAGACAACUUGUUGACUAUGUUAAGUCUUGUAGCUUACUCGCUUAUGCUAUUUUACCUACGCUUAGGAUGUUGAGCGCAUGUCUCUCUCU